rnacentral:rRNA from 1 species
AUGUCAUUGCCGAUCGCCGCCAUAGUCGGCAUUGCCGCCGGUGGCGCCGCCUUGCUCGUCUUGGUGGCCGUGGUGAUCGCACUUUGGUGCCGGGCGCGCGCGCGGCGUAACAGGACAUCCGAAACCGGCUCCUCGGAUCCUUCCACCCUAGUGGAGUGGGGCAAGGGGGGCCGAAGUUCCUCGGCGCCGGAGCGUCAGGGCGCCAGACAAUUCUCUCUCGAGGAGCUGGCGCAGGCGACCAACAACUUCAGCGAGGCCAACUUGGUUGGCGCCGGGAGCUUUGGCCUGGUGUACAAGGGGUUGCUUUUUGAUGGUUCAGUUGUGGCCAUCAAGAGGCGCAUGGGAGCACCAAGGCUGGAGUUUUCGGACGAGGUUAGGAGGCUUUCAGAGAUUUGUCAUCGGAACAUCGUAACUCUGAUUGGUUAUUGCCAGGAAGGAGGUCUACAAAUGCUAGUGUUUGAGUACUCACCCAAUGGCAAUGUCUGUAGCCAUCUAUAUGAUUCAGGGAAAGGCUCCAUGACACGGCUUGAGUUCAAACAGAGGCUAGCAAUAGCCAUUGGUGCAGCUAAAGGUCUGAAUCAUCUGCAUAGUCUUAUGCCUCCUUUGAUCCACAAGAACUUCAAGACGAGCAAUGUACUGGUCGAUGAGAAUUUUAUUGCGAAGGUGGCUGAUGCUGGACUUUUUAGGUUACUUAGAGGACAUGAAGAUGUCGGGUCAUCGCAUGGGUUUAGUAGCAGUGUCUACCAGGAUCCCGAAGCACACUUGGUGGCGCAGUUUUCUGAAAGCAGCGACGUCUACAGCUUUGGAGUGUUUCUUUUGGAGCUAAUUACUGGCAGAGAAGCUGCUAGCUUGCAACCUGCAGAAUCCAGAGAAUCUCUGGCCCACUGGCUGGAAGCACAUUUCAGUUCAAAUGAACUGAUUGACCCAAGGUUAGGUGGCGGUUUCACGACAGAAGGUAUGAAAGAAUUUGUUGGGCUUGCUUUCCAGUGUCUGAACCCAUCCUCCAGAAGGCGGCCGAAGAUGAGGCUGGUUGCGGCUGAACUAGACCGUAUUCUCGAGACGGAGAUGUCUCUAACAACGAUUAUGGGCGACGGAACCGCGAUCAUCACCCUUGGGAGCCAACUAUUUACAUCGUAA